AGCAGCUGCUCACCACCAUUGCCCGCACCAUCAACGAGGUAGAGAAUCAGAUCCUCACCCGAGAUGCCAAGGGCAUCAGCCAGGAGCAAAUGCAGGAGUUCCGAGCCUCCUUCAACCACUUUGACAAGGACCAUGGCGGGGCACUGGGGCCUGAGGAAUUCAAGGCCUGCCUCAUCAGCCUGGGCUACGACGUGGAGAAUGACCGGCAGGUACGCGCACCACAGCCCCAGCAGACUGGCAUUAACUGCUCUUUUCUCUUUUCUCCCUCCCUCUCACCACUCCCCUGCCAUUCUGUGCUGUCUCCUGGCUCUCUUGCCUCCUCCCUCAUGUCUCUGGACACUUUUCCCCUUACCUGGUCUCUGGGCCUCCUGGCUCCUUGCUUCUCCAUUGUCCUGUCUGUCCGCUGUGCACAUGGGGCCUACUCUGGGCCUGGCCUCUGCUAUGCCUGCGUCCUGGGAGCAGAAGCAGACAGGCAGCAUGGACUCAGAUGACUUCAGGGCUCUGCUUAUCUCCACAGGAUACAGCCUGGUAUGCUGCCUCUGCCUCCCCUGCCUCUGCUCCUCCUCCUUCCCCAGCCCCCUCACUGCCUCCUGAGCUUCCAUAUCUUCCUGGGGCCGCUCCUCCACCCUGCAGUGCAACAAGGCCUUGCUUGCCUCCUUCUCUGCUCUGCUGCACUGGAGGGACUGGGGUCCUUCCAGUGGACACCCCACCCCCCAUCCCCAACAAACAAAAUCCACCUCUUCCUACAAGUGUCUAGGGGACAGUCUUCCCACUCUCCCUUCUCUUUCUGUUUCUCGCUUUCUUCCCCCACUCACAGAGCUACUUUAAGCCAGAGCUGGGACAGUGAACCCAAUCCUCUGCUUCCCUAGACUUUUGGGGGUGGGGGAGGCCAAGGAAUAAACUCAAGAUCUAGCACU
rnacentral:lncRNA from 1 species